AGGCAUAUAAACACUGAAUUUUUUUAAAUGAAUUAAUUCUCUUUUAUUUAAAUGAUUUUUUUUUCACCAAUACUGAAUUGAUUACACUCAUUUGAACACUUCUUCCUGUAAGGGAGCAUCAAAACCGCAAUUCAGGCUGGGUCAGCAUUGGCAUUCACCUCUGCAUUGAUUGAUUUCAGAGGUCAGAGAAUAAAACAUGAUUCUCAUAAGGAGUAUGCUGCCUACAACUCUGCAUUGAUGAAAACUAUUAAGGGUGCAACAACUGGUUUAAUUUCUGGCACCCUCUGGGUACUGUUGUUGCCACCUGGAAUCAUGUUCCUCGUGUUGAGAGAAACGUUGCUCGUCCAGGCCUCAUAAGAACUUUCAAGAUGAUGGGCAACUAUGCAUUGACCUUUGUUGUCAUAGGAGGAGUCUACAUUGGUGUUAAGCAGUUGGUGCAGAACGCUAGGAUGAAGAGGGAUCUUGUCAAUUGUGCUGUAGGUGUGCAACUGUUCUGGGUUACAAAGAUGGUUGGUCAGUUAAUGUGCCUGCAAAUACUGGCACUGGAAGAAGUCAAUAUGUGAAUGCUGGAGAACUAAGUGGCAGGCUGGCAGCACUUCUUCACAUACUUAACAAGCUGAUAAACAUAGGGGUGUUAGCUUUAACACUGAUUUGAUACAUAGUGAUCUUAUAGCCUAUAUAAACAUUGUGGGAGCAUAGAACUAAGAUAUAUUUUUUCCUAUGUAAAUUCUCUUGCCGGUACAUAUUUAUUUGUCGCAAUCGGCCAAAACCAAACCCACAUUUAGUAUUUUGAAUGUUGCUUCUUGUGCUUCAUUUA